GGGUCGAUGAUGACGAGAUAACUGUGCAAUCUGAGGUCUUAAGAACUCGGUGAUGGAGCAUGUUCUGAGAACGGGCUGAGACCG